AUUGAACGCUGGCGGCAGGCCUAACACAUGCAAGUCGAGCGAGCGGCGGACGGGUGAGUAAUGUCUGGGAAACUGCCUGAUGGAGGGGGAUAACUACUGGAAACGGUAGCUAAUACCGCAUACAAUCAGGUGUGGCCAGAUGGGAUGAGCUAGUGGGUGGGGUAACGGCUCACCUAGGCGACGAUCCCUAGCUGGUCUGAGAGGAUGACCAGCCACACUGGAACUGAGACACGGGCCAGACUCCGACGGGAGGCAGCAGUGGGGAAUAUGGCACAAUGGGCGCAAGCCUGAUGCAGCCAUGCCGCGUGUGUGAAGAAGGCCUUCGGUUUGUAAAGCACUUUCAGCGGGGAGGCGUUACCCGCAGAAGAAGCACCGGCUAACUCCGUGCCAGCAGCCGCGGUAAUAC
rnacentral:rRNA from 1 species